UUAGUACUAUGGGAUAGACCCGAAACCUAGUGAGCUACCCAUGUCCAGGAUGAAGUCUCAGUAAAAUGAGAUGGAGGUCCGAACCAGUGUAGGUUGAAAACUACUUGGAUGAGGUGUGGGUAGGAGUGAAAGGCUAAUCAAACUAGGAAAUAGCUGGUUCUCCCCGAAAUAUAUUUAGGUAUAGCCUUGUUGAAUUCAUUGUGGUGGUAAAGUCACAGUUUAGGCUUUGGGGGCGUAAGCUUACCGAGCCUUAGCUAACUCUGAAUGCCAUAAUGUUUGAAAACAGGAGUCAGACUGUGUGGGAUAAGCCUCAUAGUCGAGAGGGAAACAGCCCAGAUCAUAAGCUAAGGUCCCUAAAUAUACGUUAAGUGUGAAAAGAUGUGAAAACGCAAAGACAGCCAGGAGGUUGGCUUAGAAGCAGCCAUCCUUUAAAGAAAGCGUAAUAGCUCACUGGUCAAGUAUUUUUGCGCUGAAAAUGAACGGGGCUAAACGUAUUACCGAAGCUAUGGCUUGCAUAUGUGCUACGGCAGAUGUGCAGGGGUAGGGGAGCGUUCUUUAGUAGAAACAAGUUUGACCGUGAGGACAGAUGUGUAGACUAAAGAAGUGAGUAUGUUGGUAUAAGUAACGAAAAAAUAGGUGAGAGUCCUAUUCGCCGUAAGUCUAAGGUUUCCGUGAGAACGGUUCAUCCACUCAGGGUUAGUCGACACCUAAGCCGAGGCCAAUUGGAGUAGGCGAUGGAAAACAGGUUAAAUAUUCCUGUACCACUAGCAAGUGUUUGAGUGAUGGAGUGACGCAGUAGGAUAGGUUUACGUGGACAUUGGUUUGCCACGCUAAGCAUUGAGAGGGGUUUUGUAGGAAAAUCCGCAGAACCAUUAACCUUGGGGUGUUAUGGGCAUACUAAUUCUUAUGAAGAAGUAUGUUAGACUGAUUUCACACUGACUAGAAAAGCUUCUAGCGAAUUUGUGAGUGAUCGUACCGCAAACCGACACAGGUAGACGGGCUGAAAAUGCUCAGGCGUUGAGAUAACUAUCACUAAGGAACUCGGCAAAUUAGCUCCGUAACUUCGGGAUAAGGAGUGCCUCUGAUGUGUACAAAGUUUAGGCUUUGGAAGCAUUUUGAGGUUUCAACAAAGAGGCCCAAGCGACUGUUUAACAAAAACACAGGGCUCUGCAAACUCGUAAGAGGAAGUAUAGAGUCUGACGCCUGCCCAGUGCUGGAAGGUUAAUGGGAGAGGUUAGUCUUCGGACGAAGCUUUGAACUGAAGCCCCAGUAAACGGCGGCCGUAACUAUAACGGUCCUAAGGUAGCGAAAUACCUUGUCGGGUAAAUUCCGACCCGCAUGAAUGGCGUAACGAGUUGGGCACUGUCUUGGUGAUAGACUCAGUGAAUUUGUAGUGCUGGUGAAAAUGCCAGCUACCCGCGACAGGACGGAAAGACCCCGUGCACCUUUACUAUAACUUGACAUUGUUUUUUGGAUUCGUUUGUGUAGGAUAGGCGGGAGACGUUGAUGCUAUGGCGCUAGCUGUAGUGGAGUCAUCCUUGAAAUACCGCCCUUAUGUAUUUGGAAAACUAACUUUGAAUACCCGUAAUCCGGGCAAAGGACAUUGUCUGGUGGGUAGUUUGACUGGGGUGGUCGCCUCCAAAAUUGUAACGGAGGCGUUCUAAGGUUCCCUCAUGACGAAUAGUAAUCGUCGGAAGAGUGUAAAAGCUGAAGGGAGCUUGACUGCGAGACAAACAGGUCGAGCAGGUGCGAAAGCAGGAUUUAGUGAUCCAGCUGUUCCGAAUGGAAGGGCAGUUGCUAAACGGAUAAAAGGUACGCCGGGGAUAACAGGCUUAUCUCCUCUGAGAGUCCCUAUCGACGAGGAGGUUUGGCACCUCGAUGUCGGCUCAUCGCAUCCUGGGGCUGGAGAAGGUCCCAAGGGUUUGGCUGUUCGCCAAUUAAAGCGGUACGCGAGCUGGGUUCAGAACGUCGUAAGACAGUUCGGUCCUUAUCCGUCGUGGGCGCAGGGUAUUUGAGAGGAUUUGUCCCUAGUACGAGAGGACCGGGAUGAGCGAACCUCUAGUGUUCCAGUUGUUUACCAAAAGCA
rnacentral:rRNA from 1 species